rnacentral:rRNA from 1 species
AUUGAACGCUGGCGGCGUGCUUUACACAUGCAAGUCGGACGAGUGGCGAACGGGUGAGUAACGCAUCGGAACGUACGGAGUAAUGGGGGAUAACUGUCCGAAGGGACAGCUAAUACCGCAUAUUAUACGAGCGGCCGCGGUCUGAUUAGCUGGUGGGCGGGGUAAAGGCCCACCAAGGCGCCGCACAGUAGCGGGUCUGAGAGGAUGAUCCGCCACCCUGGGACUGAGACACGGCCCAGACUCCUACGGGAGGCAGCAGUGGGGAAUUUUGGACAAUGGGCGCAAGCCUGAUCCAGCCAUGCCGCGUGUCUGAAGAAGGCCUUCGGGUUGUAAAGGACUUUUGUCAGGGAAGCGGUACCUGAAGAAUAAUCACCGGCUAACUACGUGCCAGCAGCCGCGGUAAUUC